AUGGUCAUAGCUCAAUGCUAUGGAAUUGUGACAACUGUAGUUUUUCAAAGUCACCAGCCUUCUCUGUUAAACAGUGCUGGGACGAAACUAAGACUCCCAUAAUUCCAUAACAUUGAUACAUGUCAAUAAUAUGUCUCUCAACCUGCAUUCAUUCUACAGUGUAGGUGCACCCUGAACUAGACCUCUUCUCCGCUGCCCCUCAGUAAUAGUUACAAACCACUUCUGUAUCAUUAAUUGUGCCCCCAAAUGUCUUUAAAAUCUUAUUAUAUAGAUCUGCCACAGUGUCAAGAGGUUCAGUUUUUGGAUUCAGAGGCAACAACAGAGAUCAGUUGCAGAUGAAAAAGGUUUAGAAUUAUUAUACGGAAAGAAAAAUACAUACCAUGGAAGACACCCUCAAUCACGCUGCCGGGAGCAUCGGAGAGCAUCAGGACGGACCCCUCGUAAUAGCCACCUGCUGCAUGACACCUCAGGAGCAGGUUUGGGCUGAAGCCCCAUAUUGUGCCCUCAUUCAGGGCAUUUUUAUAACCUGCUUGUUUACAUUUGGAGAUGGUCUGAGCAUCACGCCACCCUUGGCUAUCUCACCCUUGCUUAUCUUGCACCUGUCUCCAAGGCCAAACUCGAUACCCUUCAAGCUUACUAAUUGCUCCUUGUAACUGCACCAGCUGUGUAUCCUACAUAGCAACUAGAAAAGGUCAAGUAAAUCAUAAAUAAUCUCUUAAACAGCUCAGAGGGACAGAGACAAUAUGGAGAAAUAAUUACACUUUGAGCCACUAACUCCUCGAAGUCACAAAUGUCUUCCACCAGUUUUCCCAUACACACAGAUAGGCAAAAACUUAAACCAGAGGUGGGAAAACUGAAGACUUUGAGGUCAAAUAUAUUCACCCACUUAAUUUUGUGUUCUUUGAUGCUUCCCAGAUUCUUUUUCUGAGACCACACUUGCUCUCUUUUCUAUCCGCUCAGAGAAAUGCAAGACUCAGGAGUGCUUCAUCACCUUUGACUGAUAUGCCAACUGCACCUCUUCCUAGAAUCGGAGCAUCUAAAGAUGGGAGUGCACACACUGAUUACCUCAAGGUUGGACUUCUCCAAUGCACUGUACAUUAGGGACCUCUUCACGUGUAACCCUCACCUCCGGCGAAACAGGUAACAAUGAGAGGGGGAAAAUCAUCCAAGUUGGUUUCAGUGAAAUGGAAAGCGGAUGAGAAUUUCAUAACUGAGCUGCCACCAUCAAUAAGUUCCUGAUACAUCAAAAGAGUUGUGAAACAUUGAGUAGAGAAAAUGGAGGAACUCUGAGGAAAUGUCAAGUGGAGGCAAAAUUCCGUCAACAUUUCAUGGUGAGGAAAAUGAGCAUUAUUUCACCUGUGGAAACAGAAUUGGUGGGGUGAAAACAAGAGAGAAACACAUUAUAUUUAUUUGAAUGAAUGGAGUGAGAUUGAAAACUUUUUUUAGAGUAUCACAUUUUCUGCUGUUGGAAAGAGGAGAGUGGAGAUGGCUCUUGUACCCUUAAAGGCUGUGUAGGAGAGGAAUUUUCAGUAUAUCUUAGCUACUUGUUUUGAGCUUUGUAUUAUGACCUCUGUUUGGCCAUGGGAACUACUGGGUGAGAAGUCACGCUUUUUCAGGCUCAAAGAAAAGCAAGGGCAACUCUUCUCUGAACACAUUCCACCAAGAAACCUCUUCAACUUAAGUCAGAAAUGCUGUGAAGUCAUACAACAACAGUGAGAAGAUGACAUGAGCUAGGAGACACUGUAGGGAUUUGCUUUUGCCUGAGCUUACUGGGGAGAGCAAAAUUCUACCCACUCCUCUCCAUUCCACAAUGUUGACAAAUGAGAAUAAACUUUAUUGUACUUUGAACUCAGUUUGCAGCCGAUGAUGUAAGCUGUGAACAAAGGAGCGGGGAGUGGAAAGAGGAGAGAAAAAACUGGCAUAUCUUAAUAGUAGCUGAAAAAGUGGGACAAUAGAAGAGUAAUUGGGAUUGUUCCUGCCAAAUCAGUACGAUCAGAGAGUAUGUUUCCAUGGUGUUUAUAAAGUAUGUCUAGUGCCCUUAAUAAAACGAGUGCUCUAUAACUUAUCUCAUCUUAAAAAAAACAUAGAACAGAAAGAAGUGGAAAGAACAUUGCUUUGUUUCUCAUGUUAGAAAGAGACAUGAAUGCUGGCUUUAUGUUACAUUUGAAAACAUCUUUGCAAGGACUAUAAUUUUAAUACCGUGUCCACUUUCCCCAUUUUAUCUUUAUAUUAACCCUGGAGGCAACUUGCAGAUAGUCUCUCUUGCGUGAAAAUAGGGUCUAAAGUCUCCUGAAAUUAUCCACUCUGACUCAGGCCCCUUCUACACUCCCAUAUAAAAUCCAGAUUAUCUGAUUUGAUAAUCUGGAUUAUAUGGCAGUAUAGAAGAUCCUAAGAUGUUCUACCUUGAUGUUUCCCUUGAA